CGUGCCACUUGCUCCAGUCUCGAUGGGACGCAGGAAUAAAACGCAGAGUGAAAAAGCAUCGUUGAAAAAAUCUGUUCUCGCCUAUGAAAUAUCCGGGCUUAAAUUAACGCGCCUAACCUCGGUCUCGAAUCCAGAGUACCUGCAUCGUCAUUUGUUUAUUCACUAAUGAGCGACAAAAUGGCGUCAGCUUGUACGAGAACGGUUAAAAAAAGCUAUGCACUCCUCGCUUAACUAGCAAUUAUUAAAAUUGGUUCACUUUGGCUUGGAUACAAAUUGAUCAUUAAUGAAGAACCCACUCCCGUACCUCUUCAAAUCUGUGUGGUAACUGCGUCGGUGAAACUUAAAUGCAUUGAAAAAUGGCGUCAGAUAGUUCCAGCCUUCGUUAUACCUGUGUUGUGCGGAACAGCUCUUCACUUUUUGCAACAUGUCAAUAGGAAAAAUAAUGCGCCGAGAGUUUUUAUAGUUGGAGCCGGGUUGUCUACUAAAAGCAUAGCCUCAACCAAACCAUAUCUCCUUGUUUAUAUGAAUAGUCAUGAAUCGACGUGUGUAUGCAUACACGCGAUACGAUCAUUACCAUGUGUAUUUAUAUCGUGAUCACUGUUUCACGAAUAGCUUGAAAAUGUUUUGCGCAAGUUACGUCGGUAAUAUGUACGUAUUAACCAAUCAAAUAGGAUGGAAAAUCCUUGCAGUGUAUUUAUAUUUAAAUUCAGUUUCGUGUUAUCAGCAAGCCAGGACUCGUGACGGGGAAGUUUCAGGCUACUGAAUGCAAUUACUUGUUGAAUUCAAAUAUGGAGUUGUAGAUUGAUUACGAAACUCAAGCAUGCAUGAAAAUGGCCACGGCAUCACUUGCAAAUGGCAUCAAAAUGGUGUAAAAUUCGAAAAUAAAUCAAAUUUCUUCUCAACUAUUGGAUCUAGUAAUAAAAAUUUGCACACUCAAUCAUAAAAGAAAUUUAAUUUUCGGAAAUCCAUAUUUCAUACUAUGUUUCCAGUAGCGUUAUCCGCAAAAUGCUACAGUGUGGCGAAAUAGUAAGACGUACUAGGAUGCAUUUCAAGCCAUACGGCUUAAUAUGUAUUUGCGAAACAAAGAUCGAAAUAGCAUUCAAUUUGUGUUUCGGAACAGUUUCUCUGCAGAAUCUCAAAUGGCACGCAUGAACUAAUAUUUUGCGUCUUUGGAAUUUAUUUGCUCAGACCUGAUCCAGGGAAUUAUAUGCUGGAGCAUGUUGGUCUUAUCGGAGCACACGUAACGCACCCUUGGUCGUCGGGCCGAUUAGAGAUGUAGACAAUUAGCGGACAGAAGAACGAUCAAUGUUGACUUUUUUUUAAUCCCCUUUCUUCACUUCAUAGUUCAAUGAAAUGCAAUGUUGUAAUUCAAUAGUUCCCAUAGUCAGACUGUCGAAUAUUUGAAUAAUUAUAGUGUAUUCCACAUGUAUUAGGGUGUCUCAUUUUAUCUUGUAUUCAGGGCUAUUUUGAAAGAUCUCUAUUGAAUUCAUUUUAAAUCCCUUAAUGACCUAGUUCAAGGUAAUUAACAAAUUCCUUUGAUAUAGGUAAUGCCACAGGCCAUCAAUUAUGUCAUUAGUCUGCCACCUAUUCUACCUUAAUUUAUAAUGAUAUUCAAAGAGUACACAUACUUAUAUUAAAAACUCAAUAGGUUGAUGCCAAUCAGCCUGUUAUAUUCAUCAUACAAAAUUUAUUUCGUUUCCAGGAAUCAUGCUUGAAAAAGGAAAAUAAAAUCAGAAUACACAAAUACGAUAGAAUAAUAAUAUUGGAAUAGGUACUGUCACAGUCUUAUGUCAAAAUUAACGAUAUUGCAAUGACUUUCACACUAAAACGGAAUUGGAACAAUAUGACGAUUGUUAAAGUUACAGGUUAUUUUUAAAAAUGUGUAUAAGAACAUGAAAAUAUAUUCACUGCUGUGGUAUUUUUCUAAAUUCUUCCUCAUGUAAGCAUCCUUUCACAUAACAUUACUGUUCGAUACAGACUACAAUAACCUUCAGCUAGCGUGCAGUGUUAUGGAACAAAGGACUCGGGUUCAAAUCACUAGCGAAUCAAGGAAGACCUGAGCAACAGCCUGCAAAAUGUAUACGACAUGGCAGGUUGUUCAGAUGCUGAAUCGACAAGGUGAAUUUUGAACUCAGUCUGGCUGCACCUGGGCUAGAUUUGCUGCAGUUUUUCUUUCCCCCCAGUGUUAAAAGAAGACGUUAAUAUAGGCAAUAGCAAUAACAAUUGCUAAUAAUUUUAAAGAAAUGUAACGCAGGAUGCUUUGGGGAGAAAUUUGAAUCUUUUCA